GGAAGCGUGGCCGAGUGGUUGAAGGCGACAGUCUUGAAAACUGUUGUACCUGAAAAGGUACCGGGGGUUCGAAUCCCUCCGCUUCCGCCA
rnacentral:tRNA from 1 species